UACGUAGGCAGCGAGCGUUGUUCGGAAUUACUGGGCGUAAAGAGUGUGUAGGCGGUGUGCCCAGUCUGUUGUGAAAUCUCCCGGCUUAACUGGGAGGGUUCAACGGAAACUAGAAUGCUAGAGGGUGGGAGAGGUAAGCGGAAUUCCUGGUGUAGCGGUGAAAUGCGUAGAUAUCAGGAGGAACACCUGUGGUGUAGACAGCUUACUGGACCACUUCUGACGCUGAGACACGAAAGCGUGGGUAGCAAACAGG
rnacentral:rRNA from 1 species